rnacentral:RNase_MRP_RNA from 2 species
UCUCAUAGCCGAAGAAUCGUCCCUUAUCGAAGCUUACACAAGGAGACAGGGUUUCCUGUCUCAACUUUAUUUUAGCUUUGGGUAGAAAGUCUCCGACCAGUCCGUUAGCGGAAAACGCAAUGAGAUUUAAAAACUUUUAAAGUCUUUAAAUCAACUCAUUAAUCGGGGGUCAUUUAUUUGGCCUUCGGUUUCUAUCCGGGUGCUGUGUUUCUAACAGCGUCUGUGUCUUGGGUAUUGAAGUAAUGAAUUUGCUUUAAGCGAUAGUUAUGACGAUUGUUCAGGGUGGUAGGGGGAAGAAAUUUUAUUUCUCUCUCUCUCUCUCGCCUUGAAUAACCCAAUGGAGCUUACUUUCUUGGCUCAUGAG